GAAAAGAAACUAACUAGGAUUCCCCCAGUAACUGCGAGUGAAGAGGGAAGAGCUCAUCAUUGGAAUCUGGCAGUGUUGCACUGUCCGAGUUGUAGAUGAGGAGUAGUCCGUCUGGACUGCAUGGCGUCCAAGUACAAUAGGCCGUCAGUGGGACAUCAUAGAGGGUGACAAUCCCGUCCUUGACGCCAAUGUGCAAGUCUAUUACGAUGGCUAUCUCAGAGAGUCGAGCAGUUUGGGAUUUGCUGCUUAAACAUGGGAGGUAGAUUCCUUCUAAAGCUAAAUACAGGCGAGAGACCGAUAGAGAACAAGUACCGCAAGGGAAAGAUGAAAUAGCACUCUGUGAAGGGAGUCAAAAGGCGUGAAAUUGUUGCGAGAGAAGCGAUUCAAGUCAGCGUAGCUAGGCCCAUCAAGCGUCUUCGCUUUGGACUAGCUUUGCCAGCGGUCUUGUCCCUUGAAGAGACUUGACUUGUAAUAUGUCCAGCCUGGCGUGCACAGGCAGCCCCUUCUGGGGGCCAGUGGCAUGGCUGGUGGAAUGGCUUGCAAUCGACCCGUCUUGAAACACGGACCAAGGAGUCUAACAUGUAUGCGAGUAUAAGGGUGGCAAACCCGUAUGCGCAAUGAAAGUGAUUUUCGGUGAUUGAGAAUGGCCUGAUGACCAGACAAGCAAUAUAUGUCCCUCGUACGGCCAUUGCCCAAGUUCCGUGGUAGAUCCCACGAACAUGGAGUUGGAGCAUACAUGCUAGGACCCGAAAGAUGGUGAACUAUGCCUGGACAAAGCGAAGCCAAAGGAAACUCUGGUGGAGGCUUGUAGCGAUUCUGACGUGCAAAUCGAUCGUCUGAUCUGGGUAUAGGGGCGAAAGACUAAUCGAACCAUCUCAUAGCUGGUUCCUGCCGAAGUUUCCCUCAGGA
rnacentral:rRNA from 1 species